rnacentral:sRNA from 1 species
UUUAUAGAUGAGCAAACCAAAGCCUAGAGAGGUAAAGUAAUUAGAUCAAGGUCACACAGCUACUGAUAGUAAGCUAAGUAUCAAGAUUUCAAGUUGCAGAACAACUGAAUAUUGAAUACAAAAAGCAUAGAAUACGAAGCAAUUUAAUAAAAAUGUAUUAGAAAUAGAAAUAUAUGAAUCCCACAGAAAUAAGAAUUGCCCAUUUUAAAUGUGCAGCAAAACUGCAUGUUUCCAUGUUAAGUAUUUGGAAUUCUAAGAACUUACUUCCAUAUAUGUGGUUGAUUUAAUGAAUGUUGUGACAGAGUAAUUUCAAUAGAUGUAUGUACCUAAUUGAUUAGGUUCGCCUAAUGAAACAAAUGAAAGAAGAACAAGAGAAAGCCAGACUGACUGAGUCUAGAAGAAACAGAGAGAUUGCUCAGUUGAAAAAGGAUCAACGUAAAAGAGAUCAUCAACUUAGACUUCUGGAAGCCCAAAAAAGAAACCAAGAAGUGGUUCUACGUCGCAAAACUGAAGAGGUUACAGCUCUUCGUCGGCAAGUAAGACCCAUGUCAGAUAAAGUGGCUGGGAAAGUUACUCGGAAGCUCAG